rnacentral:antisense_RNA from 2 species
UUUUAUGGUGGCUGUGCGCAUGGCGCCUUCGGGUGCGCCGGAUGGGGGAUGGGUCCGGUCUACUAACUUGCGUACAGCCGCCACCCUC